UUACGCAGAUUCCAACGACAUGUCAUUGGAGGUGCUGUGUAGAAAUAUGAAGGUGCCUGAGCGGGGAGGACAGAGGAAAAUGGACACAGUCAACUAUUGAGUAAGCUGAAUGAAUAAGCCUGCUGAUCUGUUAGACUUGGGUCGGGGUGGUAGUGAGGGUGAGAAAGGAGUCAAGAGAAUGAGCGGAUGUUUAGCUGGAUAGAUGGUGACCUCUCUGAUGGGAGAAGACGGAGGAGGAACAGGUUAGUAAGAAAACGUCCAAGGGAAAUUGGAUUUUUUUCCUGGGUGACAAUAUUAUAUCCUGAUCUCUCUCCUGUCCUUCCUUCCUUCCAUCCCUCUGAGGAAAGAGAAUCUCUGAAAGUCCUUUCUUGGUUCCCCCAAAGAAAAUUAUCAUCUUAACGAGCCAUGCAGGCAGGUCUAGAAAAAGCCUGUCGUGCAGGCUUUUCCACUCCUGAUUGUAAAGAACAUUCUAAUCUUAUCGUCUUCGGGAGCCGUGAUGGCGAUCUCUCUGACAGUCAAUGGCCUGUCAUUUGUCUGCUUGGCUUCUCCUUGUUCUGCAGCGUAUUGUGAGCCUCCUGAGGGUGAAGGUAGCAUUCAUUUUUUGUCUCCCUCAGUUUAACUGGUACAUGGCGUUUAGUAGGUAACUAUAAUUAUUUUGAAUUGAAUUAUGACAGUUGUAUGAAUGCUGGCUAUAAUGAACUCGUGUUCUUUUGCUCUUGCCUAGACUUUAUGUGGUCUUCCCAUAUUUCUGCGUGUGGCUCUUUUUAGAGAAGGGAUGUUUCUGUCUUGCUAACCACUGCAUCUCCCGAUCCAGGGUUAGAUUCAAAAAUACCUGUUCGAGAAUGGUGGUUGCCAGAGAGGAGGGGACCUGGGGAGUGGGUAAAACAGGUGAAGGGGGUCUUAGACUUCCAGUUAUAAAUAAAUAAAUCAUGGGGAUAGAAAGGAAAGCAUUGGUGACUAUGGUCAGUAGCAUUGUAGAGCGUAUGUGAAAGUUGUCAAGAGAGUGAAUCCGAAAAGUUAACUUUGUAUGAUGACAGAUGGUGACUAGACUUAGUGUAGUGAUCAUUUUACGUAUAUAAAAAUAUUGAGUCAUUAUGUUGUACACCUGAAACCAAUAUAAUGUUAAAUGUCUGUUAUGCCUCAAUCAAUCCGUCUUUUAAAAAAUACUUGUGUUCCUGUUGUGGCUCAGUGGGUUAAGAACCUAGCAUAGUGCCCGUGAGGAUGCAGGUUAGAUCCCUGGCCUCACUCAGUGGGUUAAGGAUCUGGUGGUGUUGCAAAUGGCAGUGUAGGUCACAGAUGUGGCUCAGAUCCGGUAUUGCUGUAGUUGUGGCCUAGGCCUGCAGCUGCAACUCCAGCUCAGCUCCUAGCCCUGGAGCUUCCAUAUGCCACAGAUGUGGCCAUGAAAAGAAACAUAAAUAGGAGUUCCCGUCGUGGUGCAGUGGGUUAACGAAUCCGACUAGGAACCAUGAGGUUGCAGGUUCUGUCUCUGCCCUUGCUCAGUGGGUUAACGAUCCGGCGUUGCUGUGAGCUCUGGUGUAGGUCGCAGAUGCAGCUCGGAUCCCGCGUUGCUGUGGCUCUGGUGUAGGCUGGCAGCUACAGCUCCGAUUAGACCCCUAGCCUGGGAACCUCCAUAUGCCGCAGGAGCGGCCCAAGAAAUGGCAAAAAGACGACAACAACAACAACAACAACUCAGAAACAUAAAUAAAUAAAUAGCAGUUUAAAUUUUUUAAGUUUAAAAUACUUGUUCAGUUUUUGAAAAGAGGAGGGCAGUUAUUCAAAACCUCUGAAAGCAUUAUGCAUAUUACACAGAUAAGGUAGCAAAAAAACAUGUGCCUCUGAUAAAUCUGAAGAGCCUCAGAAGAACUGCUGAGAUUCAUUAAUGGAGCAGAGGGUUCUUAUCCAUAGGCUGAUCACCUUUAGAUUCGCCAAGUUUGAGUCAGAUGUUAUACCCUAAAUUACUUUUCAUAGUCGACAAAAUUGGGCUAAUCUGACGCUUUGAUACUCAAACUUGAAAGGAUGAUGACUCUUCUUUACUGGUUUUCAGUGAUGUUCCGAGGACCCUUGGACAUCUUGAGCAAGCCAGCUGGAUGGGCCCCAUUCCUAUUACUCGUGUCUUCAUCCAGCAUCACUCGUCUGUACUUGUUUUAUUUACAUGUCUAUAAAUUUUCCUUUGAAGGGCAAGUUCCAUGACUUAAAAGAAAAAAAAAAGUGUCAGAUAACAACCUAAAACUGUUCAUAAAUAAUUAUAUUAUUCCUAUAUGUAAAGUGCUUACCUGAGAGUAGGUGGUGGCAUCUGGUUGUCUUUAGGAAACAACAGCUUCAUCUCCUAGAAAGUACAAAAAUCUUUAUCAGUUCAAACAUCAAAAAGCUACAGAUGUGUUUGUAAAAUGCACAACACAUUUGUAACUGUUGUAUUUAUUCCUCUUUUUUUAAGACUGUGUUUUCUUAUGUGUAUUUCCCAAUGAAAUGGUGAACUCUUUGAGAGCAAUAACAAUACCUUUUUGUUUCUGUUGAGAUUAGCACAGUGCUUAGCACGAUAAAGUUAUACUAAAUUAACAAAUGGAUGGAUGGACGAAUGGUUGGAUGGAUGGAUGACUUUGACUAUUAGUAAAAUGUCUGUGACACGACACUAAUACCUAGGACUUGGUAAUUGUUUUCUAAUCCUGUCUCAGCUAUUCUGUUUUUAUAAGACCCUGAAUAAAUUACUUUUGUAUCUCAUUAUGCUAAAUAUAAAAUUAAAAAAUAGAGUGUGUUUUGCAAAUUAAGGAUAAUGAGUCACUGUUUCUUGAGACUAGACGAUGCAUGAGCAAAUUAAUUACAACAGCUUAUGUUAUUAUAAUUACAAUGUUUAUUAUAAGAUAUAGUUGCUGUUGAUGAAACUAGCCCAGAAAAGGAAUGUAGUAUGAACAGUUGGUUCAAAUUUGGGGCCAAUAUUCUGGUGAACAAAAUUAUUAUUUAUUACUUGAAGGACCUGAGACCAAAGUUUAAUAAAAAUAUAUAGUCUGCGUUGGGUUUCUGCAGAUUCAGUAACAGCAGUGACCUAGUAGCCAAAGAAGACCUUGAAAACCAGGCAAAGCUGAAGAGGAAGAGGUAAAACGUGAAGGUUUCUACCUCUUGUCAGCUGCUGUGUUGGAAGAAUAUACCUGUGAAUAAAUUUAGUAGAACUCACCAAGUUGCUUCUUUGUGCAAGAUCUGUUGCUGAAUUAGAGAUGAGCUGCUAAAUCAGGGAAGAUGAGACAUAAACACAUAACCAAGAAAGUAUUGAGGCCGCAAGAGAAAUAGUGUUCCGUGGUGUGAGAAUUCAUGACGAGGAAAAUAAUCUUUCUCUAAAUAUUGAGUGUUACUUAGAUUACUUAUGCCUUGGUUUCCAAAUAAUAAAACCUUUCGUCUUCCCAAUAGAGCCUUUAGCAUAAAUAAAUAUGUAGGGAGUGUUUCUGGCCGAAGUACGGGUUCUACAAGGGAGCAAGCCGUUUCCACAAACAUGCUGUGUUUCUUUGUCGGGACAGUCGGCUCCAUUUUGUUUCCAUCCUGUGGCCUGAAGGCCCUUCAAGUUGCGAAGCUGUCUCUGAUGUGAGCCAAAGUUAAAUCAUCAGAUUGACUGACUCACCGCACCAUGUGUUUUGUAUUAAAAAUGUGUGUGUGUGUGUGAUGAGCAAAUGAAAAUGCGGACUCCCCAGGCCCUACAGUCUUUGUUAUUCCUAGAUUUACCAGUGUUUUCACAAUUCUGAAAACAGUGUAUCUCUGAUAUGUUCAAAGUACCUCAUUUUUACAAGGCAGGAUAUUACUGUCGUCUAAAAGCACUAAGAAUAAAUUGAUAUGCAUAUUUACCCCCCCCAAAAAAGCAACAGUAACUUUUGACCUUCAUGUGAAUCUUUAAAUUUGAAUGGGCUAGUUCAGUCUUCAAAAACAAAGAUAAAUGGAUGAUAGAUCUGAAAGAAAGUUUGAAGAAAAAAGACAUACAUAAACUCAUCCUAAUUUAAUACACAUCUUCUAACUUUCAUGUAUUUCCUUCCAGUUAUUUUCAUGUUCGUGUCAUUUCACUGGUUGCUAACCCAUCCUGCUCUGGGAUCUGCCCCCUCCCAGGCCACCACAGCAAUGGCUCUUGUUCGAGUGGCCAUGACCUUGGGGGCCUCCACUCACUCCUUAGUUUGCCAGGCCUCUCGGGGGCCUUGGGCAUAGCCCCGGCCCCAGCUCUCUCCGCGUUCUCUGAGUUCCAGGCGCUGUGAGCCAACUGGCUUUGGGUCCACAGCGUUGCCUUCCCUCCUCGGGGCCUUCGUGUGUUCUGCACCUCUUCCUUGGAAGACGCUUCUCCCGGUUCCUCCGGCCCCUUCACCCACUUAACUGCUCUUCUUGCAGAGCUCAAUACAGAUGUCACAAAGGUAGAUUAGAUCACUGCAAGUCUGCUUCAAAAUGGUUUUCUGUCUCCCUUAUCCUCUAAGUUCCUCGAUGGCAGAAGCCGUAAUUGUCUUCACCAUUGAAACCUCAGGGCCUAGAUCAUUGCCUGGCAUAUAGGAGCUGCUAAAAACUUCUGUUGUGGUUGAGCCGAUUUAUGAAUUGUUGCGCCAGUUUCAUAUCCUGCUCUUCGGUGUCAGUGCAUAUCUCCAUGUUGUUCCUUCCUGAUUUGUUUACUUUUAUCAAACGUAUACACACGUGCAUGUGUAACUGUGCUCAAACUGGGAAUAACCCAAAGGUCCAUCAGCAGGAGAAUAGAUAAAUAAAUUGCGCUGUUUUCAUUAAAUGAACUAUUACAGAGCCAUGUUGUAAGUCUUGCUACACAGAACAACAUGAAGAAAUCUUACAAACAUACUAGCAAAUGAAGCCAGAAACACAAGAAUAUUUACAUGUGAUUCCAUUUAUAUAAAUUUCAAAAGCAGGGAAUACUGAUCUAUGAUGUCACAAGUCAGGAUACUGGUUAUCCUUGGUGGGAUCUUGGGGACUGGGAGGGGGCACAAAGGGGGCUUUAUGGGUACUGGCAAAAGUCCAUAUCUUGAUUUGGGUGCUGUUACAUAAUGGUUCACAUGGUGAAAAGGCAGUAAUGAUUUUUUUUCUGCUUAUAUAUUACUGGUAAAUGUUUACUUAAAAAUAAAAAAUUAGGAGUUCUCACCAUGGCACAAUGGGAUUGAUGGUGUCUCUGCAGCAGCAGGGAUGCAGGUUGGAUUCCUGGCUCGUUGCAGUGGGUUAAGGAUCAGGAGCAUUGGAAUAGCUGUCAGUUCCAGCUGUGGCACGGGUCGCAACUACAGCUACAGUUUGAUCCCUAGCUCCAUAUGCUGCAGGGCAGCCAAAAAUUCAAAGUAAAAAUUAAUGAGGAGUUCCCAUCGUGGCACAGCAGAAAUGAAUCCGACUAAGAACCAUGAGAUUGCAGGUUCAAUCCCUGGCCUUGCUCAGUGGGUUAAGGAUCUGGUGUUGCUGUGGCUGUGGUGUAGGCCGGCAGCUGUAGCUCCCAUUAGACCCCUAGCCUGGGAACCUCCAUAUGCG
ensembl:lncRNA